rnacentral:SRP_RNA from 1 species
GCCGGGCAUGGUGGCACAUGCCUGUAGUCCCAGCUACUCGGGAGGCUGAGGUGAGAGGAUAGCUUGAGCCCAGGAGUUCUGGGCUGUAGUGCGCUAUGCCGAUCGGGUGUCCGCACUGAGUUCAGCAUCAGUAUGGUGACCUCCCGGGAGCGGGGACCACCAGGUUGCCUUAGGAGGGGUGAACCGGCCUAGGUGGGAAACGGAGCAGGUCAAAACUCCCGUGCUGAUCAGUAGUGGGAUUGCGCCUGUGAAUAGCCACUGCACUCCAGCCUGGACAACAUACUGAGACUCCAUCUCU